rnacentral:lncRNA from 1 species
AUGUUCGGGUCCUCAGACUCCGCCCUUGUGUCAGCUUUCAAUCUUUGUUUCUGUGUAAUUGGAAUAAAGACGCAACGCCUCCGCUUCAGGACCAUAAAGCUCGGCUUCAGGUGGACUCGUCAUGAGCAGCGGGUUCAGACCUGCGUCCGUGAAGAGAUGGAGGCGCAGGUCCGAGCUCUGCUCCUGCUUCUAGUUUUAACCCCAUCUACUGCUGAGAAGAACCUGAGAGGAACUGUGGGAGGAAGCAUCACUCUGCCUGAGCCUGUGCUGGAGCUGGGGUUCAUUUUAUAUGGAACAAAGAAUAUAGCCAUUGUGGUUGAUGGGAAAAUGAAGAUAGUAGAGAAAAUGUAUCAGAACAAGCUUCUGUGGAGCGACAGAACUGGAUGCUUCACAAUAACAGACCUGCAGAGAAACGACUCAGGGAUUUAUGCUGUUGACCGUAAAGAAAGUGGUGUCAGCACAGCUUAUAAACUCAGCGUGUUUGACUCCGUCUCGGCUCCGACAGUGAACAGACUUGGCUCCGACAGCUGCGUCCUGCUGUGUGAGGUGGUCAACGCUGAGGAGACCACUCUGCUGUGGUACAAAGAUGACGAGGUGGUGAAGCAGAACAGCUCGGCUCCGUCUCUGUCGCUCACUGUACACGAGCAGGACUACAGAUCCUCCUACAGAUGUGUGGCUGCCAACCCCGCUGAACACAAGGCUGAACCAGUCAACCUGGAAGAGACCUGUGGACCCACCUACACAGGAAGGAACCAGGAGAAGCCGGAGGAUCGGAGUCGAGUCAUUGGCAUUGUUGUCUCCAUUGUGUCUGUGGUCGUCAUUGCGAUUGUUGGUAUCAUGAUUAAGAAGCGUUACCACAACCAGAAACCCACAGCAGCACAAGGUCCAGACAACGUGGAAACAGAGGUCCAGUACACUGAUGUACAUUUCUAUGACGACACACGCGGUCAGGUUAGUCCUCACAUCCACACACUAAUGUUUGACAGGACUGAUGAUUGUAUUGCUAAGCAACGUGUUAUCAGUGUGGUUUGGUCCGUGGUUCUGUCUCCUGUCGUGUCUGGACUCUGA